GCCCGGAUGGUGGAAUCGGUAGACACAAGGGAUUUAAAAUCCCUCGGCGUUCUCGCUGUGCGGGUUCAAGUCCCGCUCCGGGUACCA
rnacentral:tRNA from 3 species